rnacentral:rRNA from 1 species
GAUGAACGCUGGCGGCGUGCCUAAUACAUGCAAGUCGAGCGAACAGACGAGGAGCUUGCUCCUCUGACGUUAGCGGCGGACGGGUGAGUAACACGUGGAUAACCUACCUAUAAGACUGGGAUAACUUCGGGAAACCGGAGCUAAUACCGGAUAAUAUAUUGAACCGCAUGGUUCAAUAGUGAAAGACGGUUUUGCUGUCCCUUAUAGAUGGAUCCGCGCCGCAUUAGCUAGUUGGUAAGGUAACGGCUUACCAAGGCAACGAUGCGUAGCCGACCUGAGAGGGUGAUCGGCCACACUGGAACUGAGACACGGUCCAGACUCCUACGGGAGGCAGCAGUAGGGAAUCUUCCGCAAUGGGCGAAAGCCUGACGGAGCAACGCCGCGUGAGUGAUGAAGGUCUUCGGAUCGUAAAACUCUGUUAUUAGGGAAGAACAAAUGUGAAAGUAACUAUGCACGUCUUGACGGUACCUAAUCAGAAAGCCACGGCUAACUACGUG